rnacentral:rRNA from 1 species
GCCUUUACUGACGCUAAAGCUCGAAGGUGCGGGUAUCGAACAGGAUUAGAUACCUGGUAGUCCGCACGGUAAACGAUGGAUGCCCGCUGUUUGCGAUACACUGUGAGCGGCCAAGCGAAAGCGUUAAGCAUCCCACCUGGGGAGUACGCCGGCAACGGUGAAACUCAAAGGAAUUGACGGGGGCCCGCACAAGCGGAGGAACAUGUGGUUUAAUUCGAUGAUACGCGAGGAACCUUACCCGGGCUUGAACUGCCGGCGAACGAUACAGAGAUGUUGAGGCCCUUCGGGGCGCCGGCGGAGGUGCUGCAUGGUUGUCGUCAGCUCGUGCCGUGAGGUGUCGGCUUAAGUGCCAUAACGAGCGCAACCCCUCUCCGUAGUUGCCAUCGGGUGAUGCCGGGCACUCUGCGGACACUGCCACCGUAAGGUGUGAGGAAGGUGGGGAUGACGUCAAAUCAGCACGGCCCUUACGUCCGGGGCUACACACGUGUUACAAUGGGUGGUACAGAGGGCAGGCGUCCGGCAACGUCCGUCUAAUCCCGAAAGCCAUCCUCAGUUCGGACUGGGGUCUGCAACCCGACCCCACGAAGCUGGAUUCGCUAGU